ACUCCUACGGGAGGCAGCAGUGGGGAAUAUUGCACAAUGGGCGCAAGCCUGAUGCAGCCAUGCCGCGUGUAUGAAGAAGGCCUUCGGGUUGUAAAGUACUUUCAGCAGUGAGGAAGGUGGAGUUAGUUAAGUACAGCUCUUCAUUGAUUGAUCUUGCAGAAGAAGCACCGGCUAACUCCGUGCCAGCAGCCGCGGUAAUACGGAGGGUGCGAGCGUUAAUCGGAAUUACUGGGCGUAAAGCGCAUGCAGGUGGUUUGUUAAGUCAGAUGUGAAAGCCCGGGGCUCAACCUCGGAAUUGCAUUUGAAAACUGGCAAGACUAGAGUACUGUAGAGGGGGGUAGAAUUUGCAGGUGUAGGCGGUGAAAUGCGUAGAGAUCUGAAGGAAUACCGGUGGCGAAGGCGGCCCCCUGGCANAGAUACUGACACUCAGAUNCGAAAGCGUGGGGGAGCAAACAGGAUUAGAUACCCUGGUAGGUACGUAG
rnacentral:rRNA from 1 species